rnacentral:rRNA from 1 species
AUUGAACGCUGGCGGCAUGCCUUACACAUGCAAGUCGAACGGUAGAGGGGGCAACCCCUCGAGAGUGGCGAACGGGUGAGCAAGGCAUAGGAACGUGCCCAGUAGUGGGGGAUAGCCCGGCGAAAGCCGGAUUAAUACCGCAUGAGACCUACGGGUGAAAGGGGGGGAUCGCAAGACCUCUCGCUAUUGGAGCGGCCGAUGUCAGAUUAGGUAGUUGGUGGGGUAAAGGCCUACCAAGCCGACGAUCUGUAGCUGGUCUGAGAGGACGACCAGCCACACUGGGACUGAGACACGGCCCAGACUCCUACGGGAGGCAGCAGUGGGGAAUUUUGGACAAUGGGCGCAAGCCUGAUCCAGCCAUGCCGCGUGCGGGAACAAGGCCUUCGGGUUGUAAACCGCUUUUGUCAGGGAAGAAAUCCUUUGAGCUAAUACCUCGGGGGGAUGACGGUACCUGAAGAAUAAGCACCGGCUAACUACGUGCCAGCCGCCGCAGUAACAC